UUCCACUGAGCUGACUGGUUGGUAAAUCAGCAGUUAACCCGCUGCCUGAUUGAAAUGCAAAUCCUGCCUGCCAUUCGCCUUAAGUUGGGUGGUGCAAAGUUUGCUUCCACAGUCGCCCUGGUCAUCCCGACGCUUCGGCUGCCUCCUCUCCACCCCCCACCCCUCCCCAGCAAUUGGGAAACCGCGCGCUCCCUAACAACAAGCUCUGCAACUUUCCAAGCCUCUCGGAGCCUGUGACAGAAAAGCACACAACUUGUUGUGCCGCGACAGGAGGAGAGACGCACGUCUUGCAGCCCCGGGUGCCAAGAAAACCCCUCUCCUCCUUCCUAGACACACCCAGGAGGUUAUAGUGGCUUCGUUUCUCCACGCCUUUCCAAAAUACAGAACACACACACGCAAAAUCUGGCAAACGAAAUAAAAGAAGGGCUUGCAGCUACCCGAAAGUCAUUAAGGCAUUAAGUUCUCUAGGAAGACAGAUCUGGAGAAAAAUUCAAGAAAAUGAAAAUAUCGCCCUAAACAAGGAUCAAAGGAAGACACCUUACACUGAAUCAGAUUAUUGGCCCAUCUAGCUCAGUAUUGCCUACAUUGACUGCCAGCUGCUGUUCAUGGCUCCAUGGAAAUGCUGGGGAUUGAAAUUGGGACCUUCUGAAUGCAAAGAAGACCUCCUAUCAUUGAGCUAUGGUCCUUCCUGGGUAGGCCACAAUCUCAAUACUGCUGACACAGUAACUAGCUCUGAGGAACAGGCAAGGAAGGCCCAAGGAAGUUUGCUGUUCAAUAAAGGAUGCUGGGUUGCUUGGCAACCAAUCGUUAGGCCCAAUGGUGCAACCAGCCAGCCAGGCAUUCCAAACUGGCUGCUUCCAUCGUCUUACGUCCUAACACAGGUGUUUCUCCUCGGCUGAUUUUACUGCCUUUUUGUAACCCCUGGGGUCAUGCAUCCAGAAAGUCCUGGGCAGGAAUUACAGCCGUAUAUAACUCCAAACUUUUGCCCCCUUUCCUAGAAUGACUAUUAAGGUAUUUUGUCCACAAAACGGAAUGGUCUUUUGUAUAUUGAAAAUGUGAUUCUCAUUCCCGGUUACACAUGAAUGCCCUUAUACCGCCAAGGUUUGUCAGCAAGAACAAAUAUAAAACAUAUAAGGAUGCUGAAAGUGUAUUUUCAAGUUCAGGUGGAGCUCACUUCAACGCUUGGAAGUUUGUUGUGAUGAGCAUCACAAAUGAAUACCAUAUUGGACUAAGUAAAAACAACAUGCCCAGUGUAGAUGAGAAGACAGGGCAGGUUAUUUGCCCACCAGUGAAAGGUCAGAAGUACUUCUGAAGAGCAUUCACGUAUUUUUCACAUUUUCUUUCUCUUUCUCCAAUGAGUUGAGGACAAUGAGCAUGGGGUUGUUUACAUUUUUAUCCUCACAGCAGCCCUGUGAAGUAAAUGUAUAUGCUGCAAACUGCAUUUUUCUGGAUGAUAUUAUAUGGUUUUAUUAUUAUAUCAUAUGCUGAUGAGUGGGAUAUUACACAUGAGCAACAUGUGUUUUUAAUUAUCUUUUGAAUGUUUCUAAACAUCUGUUUUUGACCUUUUAUUUAUGCUUCCAGUGUUGUUUGUAAAUUGCUUAGAGGGCUUAUGACAAUCAAUUGAUAUAUACAUUUUGUAUUAUUAUUAUUAUUAUUAUUAUUAUUAUUAUUAUUAUUAUUAAGAUGUGAUUGUUGCAGCCUGCAAAUGCAACAAUCAUUCUGCCAGUGGGAACCCCUUUCCUAAUAUAGCAAGUCCACUAAGUGGCUUGGGGUGACAAAAGUGUUACAGUGUUGACCUAUUGUAUAUUUUUUCUACUUUUACAAGACCUGCACCUAUUUUUCUGCUUGCACAAUUAGAAUAGCUUGAGCAACAAUACCAGCCUAUCCCGGUUCUUGUGCUGAUGCUACAUUGGAUCUCACCCAUCAUCAUUAUUAUUAAGCUGAGAGAGAGCACCAUGACGCAGGUGGCUAUGGAGCAGGUACUUGCCAUCAUUUUUUAUUUCUGAUAUGCAUUUGAUCUUUUCCCAAGAACCUCAGGAUGAUGUAUACAGAGAGUUUCUUCCCCUUUCUUAUCCUCAGAAAACUCUGUGAGGUAGGGACUAUGGCUAGCCAAAGGUCACACAUUGAGACAAAACUGCAGCUGAGAUGUCAAAUGAAAUUUUGGUUGUCGUAUCAAAACACGGCAAGGAUUCAAAAAACAAAACACCAAACCAAGUAUUUAAUGCCAAUUCAAAAAAUUUAACUUGAAGGGGCAUUUAAAAUAAAACCUAAAAAUUAAUUCGGGGUGAUAAAAAGUAGCUUGUAAGUCCAGUAAUUUAUAAGCAUGUUGUCCACUGAAAACAACCCAUAACAGCCUCUAAAUUCUAAAGCAUCUUUAGAAGAAACAGUGGUACAAAAUUCAAAGUUCUGUGCAAUGGAAGGGCCUUUUCAGUUGUGGCUCUUAAGAUGUGGAACUCCCUCCCUUCUGAGGUGUAUCUUGUCCAUCUCUUUAUAGUUUCAGCAAAUCAGGAGAGACCUGAUUCUACAAAUGGACUACUGGCUGCUCCUAUUAAUAAUAAUUGCUAUUUAGUGAUUGGUACAAGCUGUUGUUUUUAAGGACUGGGUUACUUUCUGUGCUUUUAUUUGAUUAUCCUGUAAACUGUGGUUUGUGGAAAGGGUGGUAUAUACACCAUCUUAAUAAGAAAUAAAGACCCUAUAAAACCAGA